GCGUAAGGGCUCGCAGGCGGUUUCUUAAGUCUGAUGUGAAAGCCCCCGGCUCAACCGGGGAGGGUCAUUGGAAACUGGGAAACUUGAGUGCACAAGAGGAGAGUGGAAUUCCACGUGUAGCGGUGAAAUGCGUAGAGAUGUGGAGGAACACCAGUGGCGAAGGCGACUCUCUGGUCUGUAACUGACGCUGAGGAGCGAAAGCGUGGGGAGCGAACAGGAUUAGAUACCCUGGUAGUCCACGCCGUAAACGAUGAGUGCUAAGUGUUAGGGGGUUUCCGCCCCUUAGUGCUGCAGCUAACGCAUUAAGCACUCCGCCUGGGGAGUACGGUCGCAAGACUGAAACUCAAAGGAAUUGACGGGGGCCCGCACAAGCGGUGGAGCAUGUGGUUUAAUUCGAAGCAACGCGAAGAACCUUACCAGGUCUUGACAUCCUCUGACAACCCUAGAGAUAGGGCUUUCCCUUCGGGGACAGAGUGACAGGUGGUGCAUGGUUGUCGUCAGCUCGUGUCGUGAGAUGUUGGGUUAAGUCCCGCAACGAGCGCAACCCUUGAUCUUAAUUGCCAGCAUUCAAUUGGGCACUCUAAGGUGACUGCCGGUGACAAACCGGAGGAAGGUGG
rnacentral:rRNA from 1 species